CCGAGAUGGGACCAGCGGGAGAGAGACAACAGGCUGGAGAGUAGAUUUCAGAGUCACUGGCAACUCUCUGCUAUGAGUUAAGGAGCCUGUCUCACAAGUUCCUCCAAUCAUGUCCUGGUCACUUUCUCCAGUCUGGAUCAGGGGACACCGGUUUGAUCCCUGGUCCAGGAAGAUCCCACAGGCUGUGGAGUAACUAAGCCCAUGCGCCACGACUACUGAAGCCUGAGUGCCUAGAGCCUGUGCUUUGCAACAAGAGAAGCCACCAUAGUGAGAAGCCUGCGCCUUUUAACGAGAGAGUGGCCCCUACUCGCUGCAACUGGAGAAAGCCUGUGGAUAGCAACAAACACCCAGCACAGCCAAAAAAAAAAAAAGAAAAAUCUUAAAAAAGAAACAAACAGAUUCCACAUAUGUAAUCAAA